rnacentral:rRNA from 1 species
GAUGAACGCUGGCGGCGUGCCUAAUACAUGCAAGUCGAGCGAACGGACGAGAAGCUUGCUUUUCUGAUGUUAGCGGCGGACGGGUGAGUAACACGUGGAUAACCUACCUAUAAGACUGGGAUAACUUCGGGAAACCGGAGCUAAUACCGGAUAAUAUUUUGAACCGAAUGGUUCAAAAGUGAAAGACGGUCUUGCUGUCCCUUAUAGAUGGAUCCGCGCUGCAUUAGCUAGUUGGUAAGGUAACGGCUUACCAAGGCAACGAUGCAUAGCCGACCUGAGAGGGUGAUCGGCCACACUGGAACUGAGACACGGUCCAGACUCCUACGGGAGGCAGCAGUAGGGAAUCUUCCGCAAUGGGCGAAAGCCUGACGGAGCAACGCCGCGUGAGUGAUGAAGGUCUUCGGAUCGUAAAACUCUGUUAUUAGGGAAGAACAUAUGUGUAAGUAACUGUGCACAUCUUGACGGUACCUAAUCAGAAAGCCACGGCUAACUACGUG